rnacentral:rRNA from 1 species
UACAGAGGGUGCAAGCAUUAAUCGGAAUUACUGGGCGUAAAGCGUGCGCAGGCGGCUUUGCAAGACAGAUGUGAAAUCCCCGGGCUCAACCUGGGAACUGCAUUUGUGACUGCAAGGCUAGAGUACGGCAGAGGGGGAUGGAAUUCCGCGUGUAGCAGUGAAAUGCGUAGAUAUGCGGAGGAACACCAAUGGCGAAGGCAAUCCCCUGGGCCUGUACUGACGCUCAUGCACGAAAGCGUGGGGAGCAAACAGG